rnacentral:lncRNA from 1 species
CCAACUACAACACACACACACACACACACCAAAAGGGUAUCUAGAGAGAGAGAAACAGAAACAGUCUUGGGGUAUUUUAUUUUAUUUCUUUUGUUCCUCUUGUAAGCCUCUUCAUCGCCAUCAUUUGCGACCCUUCUUUAUAAAAUGUUUGAUUUUUUUUUCUGGGUUUAAACAAUUUUGAGAUGAGCAAAAGAAAUGGGAUUUUUAAAAAGGGUCUCUUUUUGUUGUGGGUCGGAUCUCUUUGUUGUACUUGAAACAGAGAACCUGUCACAUCUCAGCUGCUGAUUCUCGUUUUUUUAUCAUCUUCACUGAAACUAAAGCAAGCAACUUUUUUGUGAUCUGUUUUUUUUCUCUCUCUGUUCCUUGAUCUGUGUUCUUGGUUUCUCACAACAAAGAUGGAUGAAAGGAAAUGCAAGAAAUGAGUCACGGUUCCGGUUUGGUUCACUGGGUAUUUUCAGUUUUU